CCUGUCUGAGAGUGACAUUUAAGUUACUGUUGUAACAGUAUGACCAAUAUGUGCGCCCCGUGCCCACAAAGGAUGUGACAAGCACAGACCAGCAUGAGUGAAGCUGAGAGAUGGGACACAUACUAUGUUUCUGCCCUCUUUGAACACACUGAACUGGGGUUUCUAUAAUGAAGAAGGUGGACAAUGAGGACCAGCAUGACACAGAUAGUGAGAGACACAUUGAGGGGUAGAGAGACACACUAGAGCGGCAUGCACAUGGCCAUGAAGAUGGGCACUGGAGAGCACAGAGAUGAACUCACAUGGGGGGGCUUAAAGUAAACACACAAGAAGGGCAUUGAAAGGAGGAUACAAGAAGGGCAUGGAGAGGCAGACACAUGGAGACUUGAAGAGGGGGAUAGAAGAGGAGUUGGGGAAGAUGGAGACAUAAAGUGGAGGGCAAUGAGAGGGGGACACACUAUGGGGGAAGGUAGAGAGAUACACAAGACAAGAUCGAGAGUGAUACACACAAGGGGGCACACUGUGGCUUCUGUUUGCUUGUUUGGCAGUUUAAGGUCCACUCCUGUGUUUCUCACAGGGCUUCUGAAGGCCUAAGGCUGCUCUCUACUCACC